rnacentral:rRNA from 1 species
UGGCGGCAUGCCUAACACAUGCAAGUCGAACGAUGCUUUCGGGCAUAGUGGCGCACGGGUGCGUAACGCGUGGGAAUCUGCCCUUAGGUUCGGAAUAACAGUUAGAAAUGACUGCUAAUACCGGAUGAUGUCGAUAAGACCAAAGAUUUAUCGCCUGAGGAUGAGCCCGCGUAGGAUUAGCUAGUUGGUGUGGUAAAGGCGCACCAAGGCGACGAUCCUUAGCUGGUCUGAGAGGAUGAUCAGCCACACUGGGACUGAGACACGGCCCAGACUCCUACGGGAGGCAGCAGUGGGGAAUAUUGGACAAUGGGCGCAAGCCUGAUCCAGCAAUGCCGCGUGAGUGAUGAAGGCCUUAGGGUUGUAAAGCUCUUUUACCCGGGAUGAUAAUGACAGUACCGGGAGAAUA